GACGAACGCUGGCGGCGUGCUUAACACAUGCAAGUCGAACGGAAAGGCCCUGCUUUUGUGGGGUGCUCGAGUGGCGAACGGGUGAGUAACACGUGAGUAACCUGCCCUUGACUUUGGGAUAACUUCAGGAAACUGGGGCUAAUACCGGAUAGGAGCUCCUGCUGCAUGGUGGGGGUUGGAAAGUUUCGGCGGUUGGGGAUGGACUCGCGGCUUAUCAGCUUGUUGGUGGGGUAGUGGCUUACCAAGGCUUUGACGGGUAGCCGGCCUGAGAGGGUGACCGGCCACAUUGGGACUGAGGUACGGCCCAGACUCCUACGGGAGGCAGCAGUGGGGAAUAUUGCACAAGGGGCGGAAGCCUGAUGCAGCAACGCCGCGGGCGGGAUGACGGCCUUCGGGUUGUAAACCGCUUUCGCCUGUGACGAAGCGUGAGUGACGGUAAUGGGUAAAGAAGCACCGGCUAACUACGUGC
rnacentral:rRNA from 1 species